rnacentral:misc_RNA from 1 species
GGAAGUAAAAGUCGUGACAAGGUUUCCGUAGGUGAACCUGCGGAAGGAUCAUUCAUAAUAAAGUGUUUUAUGGCACUUUUUAAAAAUCCAUAUCCACCUUGUGUGCAAUGUUAGAUCUCGUCAAUCUUGGCGAGAUUUUUAUACAUCAACUCAUUUUUUAACUAAUUUGUCUGAAAAAUAUUAUGAAUACUUAAUUCAAAAUACAACUUUCAACAACGGAUCUCUUGGCUCUC